rnacentral:tRNA from 1 species
GACCGCGUAGCUUAGCCUCAGUUGGAAGAGCAUUGGGCUAGUAUUCCAAAGGUCGUAGGUUCGAUUCCCACCGUGGUCA